CUUUCUUAUUGCCAUCUCUGUAUUGUGAGCCAUAUUGCAUAGUCUUUAUGUAGAUGUCAUAUUUCUGUUGUUCAUAUACUUAUACUUGUUUAGUUUAUUAGACCAGUGGGUAUCUUGACUUUUCCUCAUCACUUCUCCACCGAGGUUAGUCUUGAUACCUACUGGGCACCGUUGUGGUGUGCUCAUUCUACACUUCCGAAUAUUUUUGUGCAGAUUCAGGUAUUUGUUUGUUAGUAGCUGUGCGGGUCGUUGUUGUGGAGACUCAAGAUAAACCUGUUGUUGCAUUCACAGGCUUCGGGUCACCUUCAAGUUUUCAUUUUGCAUUGUUUAUUCUUAUUUCUGGACAGUUGUAUUAAGAAGUUUUCUAGCAGACACUCUGUAGAGCUUAUGACUUGUACUACCAGUUUUGAGAAUUGUAAAUUUUAUAGAGAUUUCUAUUUUCAAAAGUUGUUAGAUGUUAUUUCUUAUUAUUGUUAUUCAGUAAAUGUUAGGCUUACCUAGUCCCUGCGACUAGGUGCCAUCACGAUACCCAACGGAGGAGAAAUUGGGUUGUGACACGCAUGCAAACAUUUCUGGAUCUUUGUGUAGCACAACUGGAGCUGUCACUGGUUUCUCCAAAAGAGAAUUCCCUUUCACUUAUCAUGGAUGUCCAAUCUUCUACAAGAGAAGAAGAAAGGAAUAUUACAAUAAUAUUAUUAAAAAGGUCAAGAAUCAACUGUAUUCAUGGAAGUGUGAGCUGCUAUCAUAUGGAGGAAAAGCUACUUUGAUUUCAUCAGUUUUACAAAGUAUGCCAACACACAUGCUAUCAGUGCUUGAUCUACCAAUAUCUUAGAACAUCUGCAUAAAACCUUUGCUCGAUUUUUCUGGAGCAACAAUGAUAAAAGAAGAAGUGGGCAUUAGAGUAAGUGGCAGAAUAUGUGCUUGACAAAGGAAGAAGGCGGACUGGGUUUUAGAUCCCUUUUUGAUGUCUCAAAAUCAUUAUUUGCCAAAUUUUGGUGGAAUUUUAUGACUACUAAAACACUCUAAACUAAUUACAUGUGGAAUAAGUACUGUAAAAAGGAUCUCCCAACUACUGUCCAAUUAGUGAGGGUUCACAUGUUUGGAAGAAAAUGUUAGAGUCCUGAGAAGAAGUAGAACAUGAAAUAUUACGAGAGAUGAAUAGAGGCAUUACCAACAUAUGGCAUAAAAAUUGGACUGGUCUAGGCUCAUUGUAUCAUGUUGUUCCACAAGACUUUGACUGCAAUGAAAACCUGAAAGAAGUUGAUGAAUUGAGAGAAGAAAAUGCUUGGAAUCAACACCUAUUGGAACAAACUUUUCCACCUGACAUUUCAGAACACAUCGGGCAAGAACUACACUUUGAAACAACUGAUGACCAUUGGGACACACCUAAAUGGAUGCCUACUGCAUCAGGAAGAUUUUCAGUAACUACUGCUUGGCAAUUAGUUCGCCACAGGGCAAACUUCAAUCAGGAUUACAAGCAAUUAUGGACAAAAGGGAUGCCCUUCAAAAUAUCAUUCUUUCUUUGGCGACUAUGGAAAGAAAAAAUUCCAACAGAUGAUAUGUGAAGAAGGAUGGCUACAUAGUGGUGUCAAAAUAUUGGUGAUGUAUUCAACCUCGGUCUAAAACUCUUCAACAUAUAUUCUUAACAAGCUCAACAGCAAAUAGAGUUUGGAGAGUUUUUGGACAAGCAUCAGGUAUAGUAGAUAACCUAGUACAGGUUCAUCAAGAUAUAAAGACAUGGUGGAAUGUGAAAUGCUGUCCAAAAUUAAAGCCCUUACUCCAGGCAGCCCCAGCAGUGAUUACUUGGGAACUAUGGAAGAUAAAAAAUACAAUGAAGCAUGGUGGAACAACAACCUACAGCAGGGUCAUUCAUGAGGUGAAUCAGACAUUGCAUUAUCUAACAAGGAUCAAAUAUCCUUGGUUAACAAACAUACCCCUUCGAUGGCCAGACAUGAUUGCAUUAUUCGAGGGGUAUAAACCCUAUGUGGUGACCAAGAGAGUUACAUGGAACUCACCAUACAAGGGCUGGUUCAAAUGCAAUAUGGAUGGAGCCUCAAGAGCCAAUCCAGGACAGAGCUCCUAUGGCUUUUGUGUGAGAGAUUGGAGAGGUGAUUUGGUUGUUGCUAAAGCAAAAAUGAUUGACGACACCACCAAUAUGGUUGCAAAAGCAAUGGAAAUUAAAGAAGGGUUGACUUAUGGUAUUACUAAUCAGAUUCAUCCUCUAAUAAUUGAGCCUGACUCACUUGCAAUGAAAAAUAUAAUAGAAGGUGAAUGGAAAACCCCCUGGUGCAUAACAAAGGAGGUAAAGAGGAUAAAGGGAAUGAAGGGCAAUUUCAAUGUCAUCUUCCAACAUGUUCUAAGGGAGGGCAACAUACUGGUAGACUUUUUAACUAACCUUGCUUUUUCUUCUGCAGGUACAACUAUAUUUAACUCAUUUUUGGAGUUAUCAAGUGCAGGUAGGAGGUUACUCAACCUAGACAAGGCCCAUAUCCCAAACCUUAGGAUAAGGGUAGCAAAGAGGAAAUCACCAGACUAGUUAUUCAAAGAUGUAGCAUGUUGUUUACCUGUACCAUGCUGUUUGAGUUUGACAAGAUUCUUUUACUAACAAUGAAUGUGACUUCUGUCAGCUGUCCACAACUUCUGCUGACCAUAUGCACUAAAGACAACAAUUGUUAUUCAACCAAACAACAUCUGGGUUGGGCGAAAAGAUCACAACUUACAAUUAUUGGCAAGUACUUAUCAAAUGCAGCUUCCUGCUUCGGCAACUUAUCGGUCUCAACUGGUCCUUUAGGCUGUGGAAUAUUCAUUCACUAUCUAGUAUUUUUGCACUCAUUUUACAUAGUUCCUAGACAUGAUAAGAUCUCAUACUAUCAGUUUUCUUCAACAAACAAUUACUGCAGCAGUAGACAUGAUAUUAAUUUCACCAAGAAUGGAUACAACAGUACUCAUUCUUCAACGCACAUUUACAUUCCAUCCCAAGCUAGUUAUCUGAGAAUUUUCGAUGCAAAUAUGAACCUAUUUACACUUGAUGUUUUGGACAGCUUGGAAAAAAUCCCAGACUGUAUGGAGAUGUGUCAUUUUCCAGUGGUGUUAGCAUUUUACAAUGUUCAUUCUGGAUAUGAUAGUUCACUAUAUGGAAGGAGUUGCAGUGGUUGUUCUGAACUAUGGGCGUUCAACUUUUACAUAGCUACUUGGUUGAUGGAAAGUACAGAAUCCAAAACUGGUUUCACGCAAGGAAAGAUCAAAGUUAGAUGCUCAACACAGCUGUUGUUAUUCCUGUUCUUCACCACUAUAAUAACUAUGUCCGAACUAUUAUUUUGUAUUUGUUGCGGAUUAACACACACCUACUUAGUGCUUUGUAGGUGUUACGUGGAGUUGUUUGCAUUGACUCUGCCACUGCAAGUAUGCUCUUACGAAACUUCAAAAGAUCAACAUUCAACAAAAAUAUCAUGAUGCACUGUUCCCACACAACACCUUACUAUUACUGGUUUAAUUUGGAAGAAGCUUCUAUUGAGGAGACUUACUAUACUUGAUUCUUUAGGACUGUAUCCUUUAUGUUUGGAGAUGUUUCGACAUUUAGUGGUAUUAGCAUUACAUAAUGCUCAAUCUGUGGUUGCCGCAUCACCAGAUGGGAAGAUAUAAUUCAAUUUUCCCAACUUUUGGUUUCCCCUACUACUGUGUUGCUGCCAACACAGUCAUUUCCCAGUGAUUCAAUUGUCCUGUCCUUGGCUGGUUUAUUGUUCAAAAUUUACCGCUUCAAACUUGAUCUCAACCAAAGAAAAAUCAAAUGCAUGUUUUCUGUAUCAGCAAUGUUGUUGGAGUUCUUCAGCCCCAAAAUGAAGAUGUCCAAUCUGCUUUGCUUUACAACUAGUGGAUUAAAACAUACCUACUUCAUUGGAUUACAACAAAUGGCACCCGGUGAGAGCUUUGUAGGUGCUACAAGGAAUUGUUUGCAACUUGUGUGCGAAUUCAUUAUCAUCGACAAUAGUUGGAUGUUUCAAAAUAGUAGCUUAGUACUUUUCAUUUAUCUUUAUGCUACUGCUACAUUGUAUUUGGUAGGAAUAACCAUUGGCUUUCUUUGUUUGAUUUAUUUCUCUUUUACUUGAACAUUGUGUAACUUUUUCCCAGUUUAGGAAUUAUUAUAUAUAACAGCUACUAGGUGAAUAACUUAGUAGUAUAUUUGCUUUUAAAAUAAACUACCCUUCCAACCCCUAUUUUUUAAAAUUUUCUUUUAGUAUUAGGCUUGGGCCAGAGGCCAACAGGCCCAAAAUCAAGGUCUAGCCCACCAAUCCUUUCUCAACUCACCCCCUAAUCUAGUGAGUCUGCCAAGACCAGGUCCAAUUCCAAACAAAUCCCAAGCGGCCAAACAAACUAGAUGUCGAAAUUCAAAAUUGAAAACUAAGUAAACCACUUUGAAAUUGAAACAAAUUCUAGAACUACAAUCUAUACUAGCAUAUGCAAAUAAUUGAGCAAUUAAAGUUACCUUAAAACUUGCAAUUACUAAUUGAAAUUACAGCAUGUAUUUAAUUAUCAAGCCACCUAAACACUAAUUGAUUCCAAAUUAUUGAUUAAACAUGCUCGGACAGAAUUCAUCGAGACACAUCAAUUAGAAAGAAUUAUACAGAAGGGGAGGAGUGUAUACCAAAUCUGCUAUACACCCGAUCAGCGUCAAAGAAAUGCGGUGAUUGUAAUGAAUUCUGGUGACGAUCAAUAGAACUCCGGUGAGCAAAGAGGAUUGUCACAUGAGCAUUGGCCGACAAAUGUUUAUGCGAUCCAGUGCUACAUGUAACAAUGCUCAUUACAAGCCGAAUUGAAGAAGAAAAGAUGAAGUUUGGGGAAGUUCGGCCUGUCUACGACGGUCAACGAUGUUUCGGCCACCGAAAAAUGGUAAAAAAAUGACCUCAAACGAAAGGUCUUUCCGAGACGUAUCAUUUGAUGUAAAAUUUAGGUAAAGAGGAGGUCGGGUUGAUAGUAAUUUAGCAAAGGGGCAAAAAAGUUGGGACUUUUAUUCCUAGGUCUUCUAAUCGGCAGGAUUGGGAGGUUUUUUGGGGGGAAAUGAUGUUGGAUUAAGGGUGAGGAGGUGGUGAGGAGUAUUUGAUAAUUUUUUGGGUGGAUUAGUGUUGAUCCGCCGCCGGAUGGCGAUUUUCGGGUAGUGGAAGACGGCGAAGUAAGGUGGCUAAUUUGAGAGAAUGAGAGAAUUGGGGGCAUCUAGGGUUUGGCAUAGUGGGGGGGCUGUUUAGAUUAUGAU
rnacentral:lncRNA from 1 species